AGCAGUGAGGAAUAUUGGUCAAUGGACGAGAGUCUGAACCAGCCAAGUAGCGUGAAGGAUGACUGCCCUAUGGGUUGUAAACUUCUUUUAUAUGGGAAUAAAACAGGGUAUGCAUACCCUCUUGUAUGUACCAUAUGAAUAAGGAUCGGCUAACUCCGUGCCAGCAGCCGCGGUAAUACGGAGGAUCCGAGCGUUAUCCGGAUUUAUUGGGUUUAAAGGGAGCGUAGGUGGAUUGUUAAGUCAGUUGUGAAAGUUUGCGGCUCAACCGUAAAAUUGCAGUUGAAACUGGCAGUCUUGAGUACAGUAGAGGUGGGCGGAAUUCGUGGUGUAGCGGUGAAAUGCUUAGAUAUCACGAAGAACUCCGAUUGCGAAGGCAGCUCACUAGACUGCAACUGACACUGAUGCUCGAAAGUGUGGGUAUCAAACAGGAUUAGAUACCCUGGUAGUCCACACAGUAAACGAUGAAUACUCGCUGUUUGCGAUAUACAGUAA
rnacentral:rRNA from 1 species